UCUUUCUUACUUUAGUCUUUCCUAUCAGUUUUUCUUUUUUCUCUCCAAGUUGAUUUCUAAUUUUCUUCUCUUCUCAAUCGUGGCCACCAAGUCGUCGUGCUUCGGCCACAAGAAUCCUUCGUGUCCAGUCAUCUUCGAAUUCACCACCGUCGCCACCAUCACGUGCCCAACCGAUCACCACCGCGUACAAGCUUGGAUUUGAUAAGUACUUUUUUGUUUUGAAAUCACUUAUGUAAGCUCGAAUCUAGUAUAUAAGGUUGGAACUGGUAUACUUACCCUUGCAAACUGUGGCCAGAUCUUCAUUCGAAGUGUUGUCCAUUGAAUGCCUUGAACGAUUCCAAAGUAAAAAAUGUAAAUUUGUCAAAGGGAACUGGACAGACAGUAAAGGUAGUUGUUUUUACUCAAGGUGAAAAAUUGGACGAAGCAAAAAAUGCAGGAGCAGAUUUGGUUGGAGGUAAGGAUUUGAUAGAACAGAUCAAAGGAGGUUUCAUGGAAUUUGAUAAGUUGAUUGCUUCACCAGAUAUGAUGCCCAAGGUUGCAAGUCUAGGGAAACUUCUAGGACCUCGAGGAUUGAUGGAGUAUUUUAUGCUUGAAAUAUAUAUCCUGAUGGAGAUAUGUCAUUGCUAAAGUAUAUUUACUAUAUAAAUUCAAUCUAAAUGUUCUUUCAAGUGUGUCGUCUUGUGAUAACAGUAAGCUUUAAUAACGUGCAACCUUAUUCAUACUAUUUUGUGUUAGAAAAAUGAAAGAAAAGGGCAUAGAAAUGAGCUUGGUAACUUACAACAUUCUUGUGGGUGGAUUUGCCCAAAUGAAAAAUGCGAAGUAAGUAAUUAUCAUUA